GUCUAUGGCCAUACCACCCUGAACAUGCCUAAUCUUGUCUGAUCUCAGAAGCUAAGUAGGGUCGGACCUGGUUAUACUUGGAUGGGAGAAAGGAAGAAAAAGAAAUAUAGAGA
ensembl:rRNA 5S_rRNA 5S ribosomal RNA